rnacentral:rRNA from 1 species
UACGUAGGGUGCAAGCGUUAAUCGGAAUUACUGGGCGUAAAGCGUGCGCAGGCGGCUUUGUAAGUCUGUUGUGAAAUCCCCGGGCUUAACCUGGGAAUGGCGUUGGAGACUGCGAGGCUAGAGUGUGGCAGAGGGGGGUAGAAUUCCACGUGUAGCAGUGAAAUGCGUAGAGAUGUGGAGGAACACCGAUGGCGAAGGCAGCCCCCUGGGUCAAAACUGACGCUCAUGCACGAAAGCGUGGGGAGCAAACAGG